AUUUUAAACCUUCCAGCCCUAAAGUUACCAGAUCCCAUCUGAUCCUCAAUGCUAAGCAGGGUCAGCCCUGGUUAGUACUUGGAUGGAAGACAGCCAAUGAAUACUAGGUCCUGUAGACAA
rnacentral:rRNA from 11 species